UUCCCUUGAACUGGAAUAAAUCAGGAGCAGUGGCAUUACAUCAAAGCCACACUGGUGUAAGCAGCAUUGAAACAAGGUUCAUUUAGCAGUGUGUGAUGCUAUGAAAGAUGUUAUUUUGCAUAACCCUCCUCACAAAAAUGAAUCUAUUCCCCCUCCCUUUUUUUUUUUUAAUGCCAGAGAAGAAGCUGUUAGUGAUACUAACUAGUGAUAUUUGGCUAAAGACUUCCUAUUUUCAGACUCUGUUGUCUGCUGCUUAUAAUUUCAACCCUUCAGGCUGAAAUUCUCCAUACCAGCUCUCUGCCUCGGGCUUAAUGUUUUUGUGAGCAAAGCUGCAGGUGAAGGGGAGCCAGACAAUUCUCAGAAUGCAAUUUGGAGAAAACAUAUUAUUUUGGCCCUGUUAGAAAAUGAAUUGGCCUCCCCUUUCUCCUCAGGUUUUUCAUUUAAAAAAAUCAAAACCCUUAGUGAUACACAUAAGGCUUAAUGGCCCUGAGCAGCCCCACCUGGGGCCUCCCCAUGCCUUCCUACAGCCCAGGGGCUCCAUUUUAGCCCAGCUGGAACCAUUGCUUCCUUUCUAUGGGGUUGUGCUGUGGGUGGACCUGUGCUCAGUCCUGUGAUUUGUCCCCCUUGUUGAGGUUCCCCAGGCUAUGCUUUACAGCCAUGUCUUGGGCUCUGGGGCCACCAAGGGAGCCCCUCACCAGUGUGGUAUGGCUCAGUUGCAUCAUUAAGAAGCUCAUCAUAGAGUUUCAAGAUGAGACAGACCUUAUGGAGAAAGCUGUACUGGAGCUGCCCUUCCUCUUCUACUGCUUUACAACUAUGAAUCCUUCAGUUUAAGGAGAGCUACAGCCUGGCUGCAGAUAUAACCAUCUAUAACAAAGGUGGAGGAAAAAGCAGACUAUGUGCAUAGCUAAUUUGUGGCAGAUGCCUGAUUCAACCAAGACAUUCAUAUAUUUAUAUACACACACAUUCCUGGUCUGGUACUUCCAGCAAUACAAAGUCAGUGUUUUACAGUGUGUCAGGUACUCAGAUCACACCUUGUUAUGCCAGGUGCCCAAUAUAAAACCGGUUUAUUUUCCAGUGUCCUGAUGAUUUAACAAGGGUGUUGGAAAAAGAAUAUCAGGUAACUAAGUAUGGAAAACUGCACUACCAAAUCCACACUUCUAGUGGCUUUGGGCAGUGUGUACAUAUUCCACAUUGCUCCAGAGCAAAUAAAGUGAACAAGCAAGUAGGGAAGCUGCCCCAACCCAUUUGCAAGCCAACCUUUGUUUCAGGCUAUAUUUUAAAAAGCUAAUGUUUGCAAAGUACUGUAAUCCACUUGAAUGUCAAUAUUACUGAUUUGAAGUCAUAAAGUAUCUUUGUAUUCUUUCUCUUUCAGGAGACAUUCCUGAGGGACUGGAUGACAGGGCCCUUAUUAAACUGGCAGCAUGCAUUUUGAGAUGAGAAAUUACCAAUUUGUAUCUAGCAUUUGAAUAAAGAAAAUAAAAACCUGUGAGAAGUCCUCAGAGAUAGAAGAGGAAGGAGGAGGUCACUGGUAUUAUUACAGAUGCACCAUUCAUAUUAAAUGAAAUAAAAAAGUGGAAGUUAUAAUCGCAAUUCUGCCUGACAUGAGUUUCCUUUAGAGAAAAUGAUGUGGCUUGACACAAUGUAACCUGACAUAAUGCGAUGUGAUGUUAUAAAUGAGAAGUAGCAUGGGUAGUUUAAUGUAUAAUUUGACACACUACCUGUGCUAUGCAUGAGCUGGCAGACAGUGUACUGUGGUUCACUGAGUACCCAAAUUGCAUUCAAAUGGCAGGCUUACCACAUCAUGAUGCACAAAAGUAAGCUAGCAGUUGUUUGGUGGGUCAGUCAUAGACUAAAUAACUGUAGGCACAGAGACACACUUCUCUUUUGAGUUUAAGGCUGAAGUACAGGCACAGGUGAUGAGCUCAGGAGUCAUAAAAUACAAAUUGGCAUGUGGAAAAAGAUCUCUGCUGCUCUUACAGAGAUAGGAAUAGAGUAGCAUUGUUUUUGUUUUCUGCCAUGAGCUUGCAGAGAGUCAGGCUGGUCUGAACACUCCAACACUGCUCAGCUAACUGGGAUAUGAUGAAGUGUGAAGAUUAGCUUUGAGUCAGUGGACCCAAGUCCCCAUAGUCUGGUUCCAGCAGUCUCCAGUUCAAUAAGUGCAUGUUGUAGAAAGUUCAUGAAUUUUCUGGUAAAACUGCCUUUUGAACAGGAAAAGGAUGGGAGCAGCCAGGGCCACACUAAUAUAUGCUUUUAUUGCCAGCAUCAGCAUUGUUAAGAAGGGAAAUAAUUCUUUAUUAUUUCAGCAAAUGAGCACAAGAGAAAUUGUUCUAUGGGUGUAAAUGGGAAAAGAAAGGAGGGGAGAAAAAAUAUCUGCAUUCUGUGGAUCCCUUCUUUCUUGCUUCUGGCAAAAGGAGAGCUCAUCUGGAUGAGACAGGAGGAAUGUCCAAUAUUCUCUUUAGCAUAUGAAGAAUGUUUUUCUAUCUUAAAAUGGGAAUUAUUUUGAUAUAAAGAUUAUGUAUACUUAACAACCAAGCACCAAAACAGUUAAUACUUUCUCCAGAGUGUUACUGAUGUUAUGUGGACAAAAUGGUUUCAACUAAUGAGUAGGAAACACAGCUUUGUUGUAAAAAGGAGAAGGAGGAACAUGCAAAGAAAUAUGUUACAAGAUUAAACAAACAGGGAAGGGUUACUUGUAAGGUGUGUGAAGUUCUUCUACAGUGUUCAGUAUUGAUAGGGCUGCAAACUGGGCCAAAUUCUGAGGCUAAUUAUUGCCUGGCUAGCUUAACUUUGGGUAAGACUUUGAAUAGGCAGACUGUGUUCCAUCAUGUGGAAACACAACGGGUUGGGAUCAUCUAAGUAACAGAAAAAUCUGAGAGAGUCCAAGUGUGCUAGCAUUCUCUGUGGACUUACAUAGAAAAUCUGAGUUUAUUAGCUCUGAUUCAGGGAUGGCCCUGCUAAUUUCAGUCCAUCUCUGUUGCUCCCUGGUGCCUUAGCUUUUGGGCAUAGUGCUUGCGGAAGUAAAAUGCUAUUUGCCACCUGUUACAGCAUUAGGUCAAAUGGGCCCUAACGAAAAAUGGACUGAGGUGCAAAGACACUUGUUCUGAGGGAGGCAUUUGGGUCAUAAAUAUCGCUGGAUUUUAGCUGAGUGUUAGCAAAGUCUUGCAUGCUCUAGCAACGUGGGACUGAGUGGUAUUCACAAGGUUAAUUAGCAGAGGCGGUGUGGUAUGAGAGUGGUUUGUGGUCUUAGGCCCAUCUUUGUCCUGGGUACUAUGCAAGGGCAUUACAUAGCACUGUCUAGAAGCGAUCACUCACAGCGUAAAGAAUGAGAGUGCUCUGUACAGUCAGAAAUAUUUUUUUCUGGAAGGAAUUUGGGAGAACUUGCAUACCUGUGAUAUCUGCACUGUCAGGCAAAAACUGGUUGGCAUCUAGAAUUUCAAGUAGCCCUACUGUAAAUUGUUUCCACUGUACCUUUCAGUCUUCCUCUAACUGCGGGUGCAAACUUAUGUGGCAGGUGUGUGGAGUCUUCUGUGGUCUUUGUCGCCUCCGGAGGAUGAAGAAUGACACAGGAGAUAACCCCAGCAUUCCCACAAACUCCACACUGGGAGCUGAGUUCCGCUUUGUGGAUGUAGUCAUAGAGGGAUUUCUGAGCUGGCCACAGCCUUUGCUUUACUGAGUCUUUCUUUAGCUCAUCUAGACCACAAGGACCUCAGACUAAUUUACUGUGCCAGUAUCCGUGCAGAGUUUCUAUGCUGGAUUACAUAAGAGCUAAUUAUUAUUGCUACACAAAGUACAUAAGUGAUUUAUUUGCUGCCUUGGUGCAAAGCAUUUAAGAAAAAAGAAA